UGCCAGCGGGCACACAGCACAGCCCACGAGUUGGCGCGCUUCGGUUGGAGGGAGAAAAAAGAGGAGCGCUUAUUUGAUGUGGAGGGCAGGAAAAGCGGAGGAAGGGAAGAAGGUCGGCCGGUGCUGCUGCUGCUGCUGCUGCUGCUGCUGCUGCAGAAACCCGAGUGGAGCGGCGACAUGGAAAAGGGACGUAAGAGCCACGGAACACGUGUCUGCAGAGCCACAAAGAAACCUUUCAGCGGCUGAGAUGAGCAACGCUGUACUGAACGCUGACGGGACACAGGCCGCGUACCAUGUCGCAAUACACAGCUGCUGUAAGGGCACCGGCAGCAGUGGGUUUGGCCGCGUGGAACCAGGGGUCCUCAGGGUGCGGAGCCUGUCCUGCGCCACACACUCGCGUUGUAGCGCCACCCGCAGGAGAAGUGCUGCAUGGCCUUGGUGAAACAGCACAAAUUGAUCCGAUGUGCCGGGCGCAAGGUUUCCCACGAUGCCCUUACCGAAGAAUCCGUCCCGCUGCUGCUCGGUGGGACGGACAUUGUUGUCACGAGCGACUCUCAUCUUAAUUCCUUUGACCUUCCCCGUGUGGCUUUUGUAAACAACGCAGUGUUUUCUUAUCACUUCAACAGAGGCCAUUCCCACAUUGCCACCGCAGCUGGCCUUCCCACAACACAGCUUUCUGGUGCAUGUGGUCACGCGUGUCGUGCGCUUAAGGCUCUCUCUCUGCUUGCUCUGAAACUCAACACUGAAGAGGCUUCCAAUGAAGCUGACUUUCCAGAAGAUGCAAACGUCACCUGCAUUGAAGCUGAACGUUGAAAUCAAUGCAGUGCUGCAGUUACACGAGUGACAUUCAGUAUUCAGUAUUCAGUAAUCGCUAUUCAGUUCAGUAUUUACACGAGUUUAUCUCACUGCCUCGGCACAAAAACGGCACAGCGACUGAUUCUAAAACCACGAGUGAAAAGGAGGGCUGAACACAUCCGGAACCUGUUCUACACGCACUUCCGGCACGAGACGACUUUACUGUACGCUGUCGCCGCACUCCGGCCCGUCUACUGCACUGUCGCGCCGAUUUCGCUCUGUGUUCUAUGUGGCACGAGGGAACAAGAGGAACAAAGUUUCAUUCUCCUGUAUGUGUACUGACAGUAAAGUUCGCCUUGACUUUGAUUUGUCUCUUAUCCUACAGACGUGUCACCUUUAGCACAACUAUGUGUCGCUUCAGUUCUCGCACUCUCGGAAGCAUUGAAAGACGGGAUUCGAGAGCUGUUGAGAGCUAUUUUUGCUGGGUGUAAGAAAUGGGAGGCAAUUAAUGAAGAGCGAAAGCUUUACUCUACUGAGAACACAGAUGUAAUAUUCUCAUUUCAGUCCUGAAGCAGCGGGAGCGCGGUGGCGCAGCAGGCUU